UAAUAUUGCAAUUGCGUAAGUCUUUUUGAUGAAGCUUUACCUUGAUUGACAUCCCACUGCUUAAAAUCUGGUUCCCAUCCAAGCUCACCAUACGGAAACAACAAUACGUAAUGUAGUGGUAAAUAAGCUGGAUGACAUUCAUUUAUCUGCAUCAACUGGUCACUCCCUCUUAACCGUACAAUAAUAUCCCUCAUCGCAGAGAAUUCAGCACCAUCUCCAGGUAAUAUGAC
rnacentral:lncRNA from 1 species